UUUUUUUUUUUUUUUUUUUGGUCAAUCGAUAACAUCUAUUCCACACGUAUUUCGACUCCUGUUCUAGCUUAUUUUAGGGGGAGGGGAGGUCCAACUGGACUAAUUAGAACAUUGAUGAAGACUGAACCACUAUCAGAUUUACCAAGUGCACUAUAUACCCGUAUGGAUUUUGAAGAAACUACAUAUAGUGGCAUGGUGAUGAGAGGCAAAGUUUGAACCUUAACCUCCCAUCCCACCAUGGUUUAAAGUCUUUAAUGGUGACUAACAGCCCAAAGGGCUGUUGAUUAGAUCCCACCCUAUUAGGAACUAAGGUUUUCAACCUUCUCAAAAACAAAAAAUUUUUGUUUUUGUGUUUUUGUUUUUUCAUAAAUUGUUUUCAUCUAUCAUCAGCAGCCGGCGGCCAUGGGUCAUUCUUCAAAGCAUAGAUCCGGACAACACUAAUCCCUCACCAGCCAUCCCCUCAUUCUUUCUUGUAUCCUUUUUAUGGUUUGGAUUGAUCUAUUUGGUGUUCUAAAAUCAGAUUUAAAAAAGAGGAAAAAAAACACCACAUCACUUCAAGUCCAGGAUUGUAUGCAGUUUGUCCAAUAAAUAGAUAUUCAUAAUUCAUAAUUUCAUAUACACAUGUUAAUUAGAAGUAUCAAUCACAACCCAAUUAUAUUAACCUGUCCAAAUCCGCCCACUAAUAACCCGCCAAAAUCCGCUCAGUAACUUUAAAUAGGUCUAAGAGAGUACCUAAUUAAAUCCAUUUCAUUGGUGGAUAGUGGAUUGACUCGACUCACCAAUUUAUACCCAUUUAAAAAUAAAUAUACAUUUAAACUCAAAUUUUAGUAAGUAUUAAGAAAAUAAAUUUGAAUUUCCUACGAAUCUAAUAACAAUAAAAUACAGUUCUUUCUUGUCAAACAACAUGCGAAAAAUAAAAAAUAAUAAUAAUAAAUGGAAUUUCAAAUGAGUCAUAAAUUGGUAAUUGAGUAUACCAAUAUAUAUUUAUUAAAUAGGUAUAAAUGGGUUGAUCCAAUUAUAUUUAUUACUAAAUAGAAAUCCGUCCAAAUCACCCAUUUUGACACAUCUAAUAUUAAUAUAUAUUUACAUGUGAAAAGUGCAUCAUUGAUCACAAAAAUAUUGAUGCUUAGGCUGUGUGUGAUCAAAAAUAUUAUUGAUCACAAAGAUAUUGAUACUUAUUCAUCUCAAUAUUAUAGUCAUUUUUUCAUUACAAAAAUACUGAUAAUUUUAUAAUUUCAUGGAUGUAUGUAAUCAGUGACAUAACAUUUGUUGACAUAAUAGUCGUCAAUGUAGAAUCUUUUCACGAGUCUUCCUUUCAAAGCUUUGAUUAUGCCAUACGCUUUUGACAAUAUGGGCCUGUUUGGCACCCUAGUUUUUUACCAAGUUUUUUAGCUACUAGUUUUUUAACAACUUUUGCUACAGGAACCCAAAAAACUUUUCAAAGUUUUUUACCUAAACAGUUCAAAAAUCUAUACACAAAAAAUUUCUCAAAAACUUUUCUUCCUCCCUCACCCAACCCACCACGCCAGACACCGCCUCCACCACCUCUCCCGAUGCCGAUCACCUAUUCCGGCACCGCCGGUAACCUCAAAAAUUUUUUUUUAAUUUUUUAGUCCCUCACCCUCAAAAAUUUAUUAUAUAUAUUAAAUAUUUAUAAUAUUAUAUAUUUAUUUAAACAUAUUAUAAAUAUUUUAUUUUAUUUAAAAUAUAUUUUUACAUAUUUAUAUAAAUAUUAUAUACCAUAUAAAUUAAUAUUAAUAUAAAUAUGUAAUUAUACAUUUAUAUAAAUAUUAUAUAUUAUAUAUUUAAUAUAUAUAAUACAUAUUAUAUAUAUUACACAUUUAUGUAUAUAUAUUAUGUAUAUUUAUAUACAAUUAUAUUAUGUAUUAUGUAUAACAUAAUACAUUUAUACAUAAUAUUAACACACAAUAUUAAUUAUAUAUUUAUACAUAAUACUAAUACAUUUAUACAUUUAUAUUAAUUAUAUUAAUACAUUUAUACAUAAUAUUAUAUAUUUAUAAUAUAUUAAUUUAUAUAUUUAUAUAAUAUUCAUUUAUAAUAAUAUACAAUUAUUACAUUUGUAAAUAUAUUUAUAUUAUGCAAUAUAUAUAAUAUAAUACAUUUAUAUAUUUUUAUAUAACUAUAUAAAUAUAUUUAUUUAUAAAUGUAUUAUAAAUGCAUAAAUAUAUAUAAAUAUUUAAACAAUAAAAAUUAUAAAUUAUAAACAAUAUUAAUUAUACAUUUAUACAUAAUAUUAAUACAUUUAUACAUGUAUAUUAAUUAUAUUAAUACAGUUAUACAUAAUCAUCAUAUAUAUUUAUAAAUUAUAAUUUAUACAUUUAUAUAAUAUUCAUUUAUAAUAUAUACAUUUAUACAUUUAUAAAUAUAUGUAUAUUAUGUUAUAUAUAUAAUAUAAUACAUUUAUAUAUUUUUAUAUAAAUAUUUAAAUAUAUUUAUUUAUAAAUAUUUAUAAAUGUAUUAUAAAUGCAUAAAUGCAUAUAAAUAUUUAAACAAUAUUAAUUAUACAUUUAUACAUAAUAUUAAUACAUUUAUAUAGUUAUAUUAAUUAUAUUAAUACAUUUAUACAUAAUCAUCAUAUACAUUUAUAAAUUAUAAUUUAUACAUUUAUAUAAUAUUCAUUUAUAAUUUAUACAUUUAUAUUAAUUAUACAUUUAUAAAUUUAUAAAUAUAUUUAUAUUACGUAUUACAUAUAAUAUAAUACAUUUAUAUAUUUUUAUAUAAAUAUAUAAAUAUAUUUAUUUCUAAAUAUUUAUAAAUGUAUUAUAAAUGCAUAAAUGUUUAAAAAUAUAAAAAUUAUAAAUUAUAAAAUAUUCAAAAAUAUGUUUUAAAAAUACCUCUAAAAAAUAAUCCAAAAAACGUCUACAGUAACAUUUCAAAAACUUCUACAAAAAAGUUUUUCACCUUACAAAAAUUUCUACAAAAUUUUUUCAAAAACUUCUACAGUACACUACAGUAAAGUUUUAGACAAACUCCCAAAAAACUCAGGUUCCAAACAGGCCCUAUGAUCCCUUUACGGUGGGAACGGUGCGUGUCAAAAAUAAUAAUGGACACGCCGUGUUCUGUCCAAUGUGUCAUCGCUUGUGGUGGAAAAGGGUUUUGGAGUGGCAGCCACCGACCUCGUGCCUGGCAAAGAGGACACGCGAGGCCUAAUUUAAAAGCUAAGCAGUUAAAGUUGGGUGUCUCUAUGUGUCAAGUUCUGAACAUUAACCAUUCACUUAGUUGCAAAUCACAAACUAAGGGUGUGUUUGGAUUGCAUUUUUCAUCAUUUUUCAUGGAAAAAUUACUAUAGCGAUUUGAUAUAUAUGAGAACAAAAUGUGAUAGGAAAAUGUGAUCACGAAAAACGAUAAUAUUUUCCGACGGAAACAAGCAAUCCAAACACACCCUUAGUCAUUUCUACAUUACUACCUACAAAAUUUAUACACUCAAUUUUACCUAUAUGUAUAUAUAUAUUUUUUUCUCUUCGCGUACCACCCAACGCAUCGUUCCCCCCUAACUCAUUUACACGUGUCUAUGCUAAAUGCAAUGCACUUAUUACAAAAUGUAGGAGCUUUAAUUAAUUCAUCGAUGGAAUUUAAAAAUGUUUUACGCUUGUUCUACAAUUUACUAUACAUCAUAUCACUUAUAUUUUUGUAUAACUGAAAAUCGGACAAAACCCUAUUGUGGUACAGUCAUCUAUUUACUUUGCUCUUUCCAUGACUAUUGCCUUCUACUAAUUCUACUCACCUUUUCUUUCACUUUUAUUUCUAAAGUCAUUACAAUUGAUCUCAAUGGCCAAAGCAAAUGCAUUUCACAAAUGUCAUGUACUCCUACAAUUACCAAAAGUUUUUAGGUCACUUAGUUGUAUGCAUACGAUUCUGUAUCUUCCACCUGUCUCCAUAAUACAUUUGAAUGGGUUGUUCGAAAACUCCUGCACACUUCUUUCACAAUGUUCAAAUUCCUUUCCUUAACCACACUUCAAACAUGGCGGAAUAUUCUACAAUUUGCAUCAUCAAUUUUGCAGUUAUACCACAAUAUUCUAAUGUGCUACAAAUUUCAUGUGUUUGGGAUUAACACUUUGUUCGUUAAUAUCUUAAAUCGCGUUUUUUGCAAUUGCACAUUGCAACUUUAAAAAAAAUAGUAUAUGACAAGUUUGUACUUUGGAGGAAGUCAUGAAAACACAUAACAUAAAUGUAAGCUUCUUAACACGAAAUAAUGACAUGAAGAUGAAUACAUAUGUCAUUUUAUGAUUGGUCUUUAGGAUUGACGAAAACCUAGUCAGGUAUUCUACAAAUAUCUUUUUAUGUUUCAUAACCAAAACCAAAAAUGACCUCGAUUCAGUGAUUCGUUUCUACUAUAACGCUAUGCACACAACACUUACUUACAUUUUUUCACGUCUAAUAGAACCACCAUAUAAAUUAUAAAGGAUUCACUAACCAAUCACACUCCAACCUAACGAAAUAGUCAGUUAUUUUGCUUAACAAUUUCAAUUUCUUUUAUAUGCAAUCAUAUAUAUUGCAAAUUGUUAUGGAAUUCUCAGAGUAUGAUAUAACCAAACAAAAUAUUUAUCCUCGACCACUCCCAUUUUCUAUUGCUAGUUCUAAGAAUAUGUGAAAAUCAUCGUUAUUUUGUAGGCACUAAAACAGUUUUUCCAAGCUAAUCACACAACUACUUUAAAAGGGGGCUUAGUCACAUUAUCCGUACUUCAGUGGAGCAUGGUGCAAAUACUUCACUAUCGUACCACCUUCUUUCGUAUUUGCCCCACUAAUCCCUCACUCAACACAAUUCUUUUUAGGGAUAAUUUUAGAAACCUCUCCAGAGAUUUCUUACAAUUUCACUGAGCUCCUUUGAGAUUUAAAAAAUUAUACCUACCUCCCUUGAUUUGAUAGUUUUAGUAAUAAAAUCUUAAAAUAAUAUUGACUUGGUCAAAUUUUUAAAUGAAUACCUAAAACUAUCCUGUGUAAUGAGUUUUAAUUUUUUUUUUAUACAAUUAUAUGAUUAUCUAGUAUAACUUAAGAAAAAUGUGUCAAAUUUUUAAUGUCCAUAUCUACUAUUUGAUAAAUAACUAUAAUAAUAAUUUUAUCACUAUAAUAGGAUAUUUUUAUGGUAUUUUAUUAUGAAUUUAGAUUUGUAAGAUAGAAAAAAAUGUUGAAAUAAUUUAUUUUGAAUUUAUGAAUUUUUCGAGUAAUGAAAUUAUUAUAAUUUAGUAGUGGUUUUGGGCAAUUUUUUUUGGAUUUAUUAUUAAUUUUAAUAACAAAAAAUAGAAAACAAAGAUCUGCAAAAACUUUAUAUUACAUAUAAGUUAAAUCAUCAAAAAAAUCACUAGUUUGAUAUUUGGUUAUAAUAGAAACUAGAGAUAAUAAUGAUAGCUCUAUAGUUUUAUUGGCAAAUUUUUUUUAAAAAAAAGGAAUAAAAAAGAAAAAGAAUGAAAAAAUGAUUUUAAAAGUCAUUUAAGUAUAAGCAUACCAAAUAAGGGAACUUCAUUAAAAUAUUUAAGAAUAAUAUUGUCAUUUUAAAUAAAAAGGGAGGCAUUUGUAAUUUUUAAAACUUUGAGAGAGCUAAAUGAAAUUAUUAAAAACCUCAAGGGAGGUUUCUGAAAUUAUCCCUUCUUUUUAUUUGACUUUUGUCGUAUACCGCGAGGCAUUCGUUUUUGACUUUUUGUUACUCUUGCGUGCGCGUCGGCCAUCGGCCCAUCGCUCACGAAGUUAAGGACCAUGUGGCCUCCAUUUCUGUCCUUCACACGUGUCUAUCUCUCGUGCUGCUCUCUACGGUAGGAACGGUCAACGCGUUCCUACCAUAAAGUGAUAAAGGCAUCCCUCAGUCCAGUCCAUACUUCUUCUUCAGGCCUCAGCUACUAAAGAACAAGCUCUGCUGCACUCAACUCUUUCCUCUGUGUCUUGUGUUCUUGUCUGAAAAUGGCGGCUUCAGAAGAAGUGAAAGUGCCAAGAAUCAAGCUGGGCUCGCAAGGUUUUGAAGUUUCAGCUCAAGGGCUGGGCUGCAUGGGCAUGUCAGGCUCCUACGGGCCGCCAAAGCCCGAGCCUGAUAUGAUCAAACUCAUCCACCAUGCUAUUAGCAGAGGUAUCACCCAUCUUGACACCUCCGAUUUCUAUGGACCCCACAUCAACGAAAUCCUCAUAGGCAAGGUAACCUUGAUCAUAUUUGUAAAUUUAUAUUCAGGUAAAUCACACUUAAUCCCAGGCAAUUAAAAGCUUGUAUCACUUUGUCCCUCUUAAUUUUGUUUGCCAGCGAUUAAAGUCCAUUUGUCAAUCCAAAAAGCUUGGAUCUUUAUUAUGAUGGAAUAUUAACCAAGAUUCUGUGUGUUUGGACUGAUAUUUUGAGGAGGGAAAGGAGAGGAGAUAAGGGAAAGGAAGGAAGGAACAAGAUUGGUUGUUUUGCUUGAGUUUUGUUUCCAUUCAAAUGUGGAAAAAAUUACAUUUCCAUUCAAAAGUGGAUAGAAACGGAGGAAAAGGAAUUCUUUUUAGUUCUAAAAUGCCUCGAAUACCCGAAUUUUAGGCUUCAGAUUUGAUUCCUUUCUUUUCUAUCAGAUAACCAAACAACAUCUUUAGGUUUUCUUUCACAUCCAUGUCUUACUCCAAACAAGACAAUAGGAAAACUUUACUCCUCUGGUCUCCUUUUCUUUCUUUUUCACUAGGAUGUUUUCAUUCCUUUUCCUUCCCUUGAACCCUUAUGGUUCCUAAUAGGGCACCGUUCAAUCCACCUUAAUAAUUUGAUUAAGUAUGAGGUUCCUAUUUUUGUAUUGAGGUUCACGUAUACGAGUCUGUAUAUGUUCAUGUUUUGCAUCAUAUCUCAUCAAUGGUAAAGGUUGACUGUGAAUUUGUAUUGGAAGGAACAGGAAGAAGAACAGAAAAAUGAAAAGGGAUUGGCCUCUUUAAGAGAGUCAAACUUCUAAAGUCCAUAGAUUACAUAAUUUUCAUUCUGCAUGCUGCCAUAUUCAAUAGGAAGGAGGAGUAUAUUAGUCUUAAAAAUGAAAACGACGGAAAAACUCAGAUUGAUUGUGCCAUGCAUGGAUCACAAAUCGCCUUGCUAUAACAUGCAAUGAUGUGUAUGUCCUCGAUGAUUGAUGUUAUGAAAGCAUGGUUUUAGGCCUUGAAGGAAGGAUUGAGAGAGAAAGUGGAGCUAGCAACAAAAUUUGCAUUGAGCUUUGAGGAUGGGAAUUUUAUUAUACAUGGUGAUCCAGCCUAUGUGAGAGCAGCGUGUGAGGCCAGCUUGAAGCGGCUUGAUGUGGACUGCAUUGAUCUCUAUUAUCAGCAUCGCAUUGAUACACAUGUGCCCAUUGAAGUCACGGUUUGCUCCUUGUUUCCUUUCCUGAAUUUAAGCUGCACCUCAUUCUUGAUGAAAUGAAAGUUUGAUCAAAGUAGUUGAAAUUUGUGGAGAAUAAUUGAGUUCCAUGUCUUUUGCAAUUGCUUCAAAAAUUGCAGAAAAAAGUUUGUUGCCCUUAUGGUCUAUGCUAAUUUGCACAAUCAUAAAGCUGAUAGCAGCGGGCAUCCCAAAAAUUACAAGCAUCCAAAAGAGUUGUCUUAUAUUAGCUUGACAGCCCUGCUGAGGCCCUGAGAGCUUUAGAACCAGAAGACCUGUGUAUUCUGUCUUUCAUUUGAGAUAGGCUAUCUGAUUCAGUAUAGAUAUGCUAUUUAUCCACCUUAUCACUUCUUUUCAGUCAGUGUCAAAAGCAAUGCAGAUGGGCAUUCAUUAUUUGAUAUCUUAAGUACAUGAUGCUCAUUUGUUAUAACACUGAACAUUUUGUAGAACGAUUUCUGUAUGGUCUUUUUAGUGCAGUCAGCGGAGAAUAUUUUACUUUUCCUGAAUGGUAGGAAGAAAUUUUCUUACACUAUGAUCACUCAAAAUACCGGUAGUAUGAAUGAAAUCCAGCAAAAUUGAUGACUAACAUUUUUCAUAUGUAUUGCCGUUAGUUUGUUUAGAAGAAUCAACAAUGUCAUAUAAUGAUAUUAGCCAAGCGCUGUGGAGGUCUUGGUUUAAUGGCGAAAGUUGAGGCCUCAGGACAUACAAUUCUCAAGUUCUAAUACCCCUUCCUCCCUUCCUUCUUCUUAAAUGCCACUCCUAAAAAAAAUUGAAAAAAAGAAGAUAUUGGCCUAGCAUCACGUCAUGCAUGGUCCAGCAGAGGUAAGUAACAAGUGGGGUUAAUGACAAUGUCAUCAGCAGAGCUAAGUAACAAGUGGGGUUAAUGACAAUGUCAUCUAGAGAAGUACUAUGGCUGCUUGUUGCCAUUUUUUUUUUAUGGUGCUUUCAAUUUGAUGUAUACUUUGACCAAGUUUUGCCACUGCACAGAACGAGUACUACUUUUAGUUUAUGCAUGUAUAAUUUUGAUUCUAUACUUUGGUAUGGAAUAUAGUAAAUCAGCUAGAAUUUUCUUGUCCGUUAAAAAUUCUCCUUCUCCCAGAUAGGAGAACUUAAGAAACUGGUUGAAGAGGGUAAAAUAAAGUAUAUAGGUCUAUCCGAGGCCUCAGCUUCAACAAUUAGAAGAGCACAUGCUGUUCAUCCAAUAACAGCUAUACAGUUGGAGUGGUCAUUGUGGAGCAGAGAUGUUGAGGAAGAGAUCAUUCCCACUUGCAGGUAGUGCAUUUAUUCUGCUUCAUGUUCUACAUGGUCUAGAAGAAACAUGUUUUGAAUUCACUUUGGUGUAAUCUUUUAGAGAGCUUGGCAUAGGGAUUGUUGCAUACAGUCCACUCGGACAAGGAUUCUUCUCUUCAGGUCCAAAGCUGAUCGAGAAUUUGACUGAAGGUGACUACCGAAAGGUUUGUGAAUAUCCAAAAAGAUUAUUAGUUUCUAGUAUAGUAUAUGUAUAGUUAGUAUGAAAUUCUGUCAUCUAUUUUACCACAUUCAGCAGCAUUGUUGCUCAACAUCCCUGUUCUUGUCUCUCUGUUACAUGUUGCUGCACUAUUUGAUGUCCAAUAAUUUGGUUGAGCUUUCCUAAAACUGUCUAAUUUAAUUAACUUCUAUCCAACGGAGUGACACAACAAGCUUUUUUCUAUCUGACAAGCCUUGUAGUCUUGGAUUCCAAUAAAUGCAGUUUUUGGCAUUGUUUGAAACUGAACCUUUUGUACAGACAGGAUAGAAAUUGUGUGCUAUGUAUUUAGUUAGAUUUAAAGAUAUCACUAGCGUUGUCAACUAUCACAAGCAGUGGGAGUGUUCUAUUUUGUGGUGCAAAAAUAUCCUGGACAUGAAAAAAGGAAGAAACUAUCUCUCUUUUUUUUUUUUAUAGUCUCUUUACAAUUUUGAGGGGAAAUGGACUUACAUUGCAAUGUCAUCGUCUGGUCUAGGGCACAAAAGCUGUGCAUUGUCCUCUCAAAUUGCUAUUCUCCCUUUCCUAUACAUCCUUUAACUGUGAUAAUACUGUCCUGAUAGUUCAAAAAUGUGUUUGAUAUCUAUUUUGAGUUCCUUCUUUAAUGAGAAAUGUACAUCAGGAUCUACCUUCCGCAAUUGAUGUUUCUUGGAGUACUCAGUCCACCUUACAGGAUUGUUCUUUCCCCGGAACUUUGUGCACCUCAAACAAUAUAAUCGAAUAUCUUGAAGUUAUUCGUAACGUCUUCUUUUGUAGACAACACAUGCUUUGCUCCCUUUUGAAUUUCUGGCAUUACAGUUGCUUAAAUGUUGAAAUUCAUACAAUGCAGUAUCAGCCAAGGUUUCAAGCAGAGAAUUUGGAGCACAACAAGAACUUGUAUGAGCGGGUCAAUGCCAUUGCUUCAAGGAAGGGUUGUACUCCAUCACAGCUAGCAUUGGCCUGGGUCCAUCACCAAGGCAAUGAUGUUUGCCCCAUACCUGGCACUACCAAGAUUCAGAACCUCGAUCAGAAUAUAGGAGCUUUGUCUGUAAAACUGUCCGCAGAGGAUAAGGCGGAACUCGAAUCUAUUGCUGCCGCUGUCAAGGGUAAUAGAUAUGCGACUGACGCCAACACUUGGAAAACUUCCGACACUCCACCUUUGUCAACCUGGAAGAGCACAUGAAGAGCAAGUUUGUUUUGGUAUUUGAUGGACUUUUAUUUUAGUUUUGGCUUGGAAGAGCACAUGAAAUGCAAGUUUGGUUGUUUGGUCUGAUAUUUCGUGGACUUCUGUUUUAUUUUAGCUUUGACGUCUUGUGAAGUAAUCUUGAGGUACAAAAGUGUUACGUCCUGGAUUUUGUAGUAAUCAUGAAGUACAAUAGAGUUAUGUCCCAAGUUCUGGAUGUGAUAUAAUUCCAAAUCCAUGAUCCCAAUAACUUUUGUAUAAAAUCACCACUUAUAAACCUUUCCUUUCCUGCUUACAUGGGACUUGGGGUCUCUCAUUUUCUCUCGGAGGCUCCCUUUAAGAUCUCUGCAUAGGGAUAGGUGAUGAAGCGGAGCAGGGUAGGCGGCGGGUGAUUUUUGUGCCCCCGCCUUAAAUGGGACCAGGGGCAGUGGUGCUUCGCCGCCCUAUUCCCUAUCCCAUCCCUGCAUCAAUUAAAUAAAUAUAAAUAAAAUUAUAUGUGUACCCUAAUAAUUAGAAAUUUAACCUAAUAAUUGUAAAUUAAUUCUAAAUAAACUGGAUUGAUUCAUUAAUUAUUUGUGAUUGGAAUUAAUUAGCUUGUAUAUCAUUUUUUAUUCUACUAAUUUUUGCGAAAUAGUCUUACUAGAAAAUAGAAAUGCACUCAUUAUACUGUCUAUGGUCAUUCAAUUAUUAGGCAGCGCCGCUAUUUGAAGUUACGGCGGAUAAAUUCAAUAUAAAGGUGUGACGCAGUUAUAUUUUGAAGGGAUAGUUCAAUUUGUGGUUAGCAUGUUAAUUUCCUAUCUUCUAUUUUUGUUAUGAUAUUUGCUUUUCAGGUUGGCAAAAUCUUUGAUUAAAUGACUGAAGCUUGUAGCGAAUCAAGUUUUUGCAACUUCUUGUCAAGCUGCUUUAUCGAGGCUGGAACACUGGCUGAGUUUUGUUGUAAUCUGUUAAGAAAAAUUAAAAGCAUAAUUUCAGAAAUCUCCUCUGAGGUUUCUGACAAUUUCACUAAGUUUCCUUGAGGUUUUUAAUAUUACACUUAUCUCUCUUGAUGAUAGACAAUAAUUAUAAUAACCUUCAUAAUUUUUCAAAAGACAAGCCAUUGAUAAAAAAAUGGAACAGAAAAAAGAAAAACAAUACUUCUUGACCAGGUCAUAUAUUGUUGCCAAGCUAUUUCAACCAUGAUCAUUGAAUCGUAACCUUCUAUCACUCAAAUAUACUAAUCAAGGUAGAUGUCUCUCUCCUUCUAUGACUUAAAUAUGCUACUGUUGUUGAUGAUGAUGGAAGCCAUCAUCACUGCCAACAACCCAAUUGUUCAUAUUAUUAAGUACAAAAAAGCUACUGGUUAAUGGAAAAGUAUAAUUUGAUAAACUGUACUAAAACUACUACCCAAACUUGCAUCUUGUUGAUGUUAUGUUUGGCUCCUCUUAAUAGACAUCAAACUUGUUCUCAAUAAAAUUGUGUCAAUUCAGAAAAAAAAAAUGUAACUAAUUUAGGAUGACCAAUCCAAAUGUUGAGAGCAGAGGUUAGAAGAAUUUUGGUAACUGAGGACUUGGCCAUUUGAGUGGGGAAAAGGUAAGGAUUAUGAGUUUUAUUACUAACGGUUUGGUAGGCAAUAUAUGGAAGAAACCUAUAGGGUGGUAAAGAUUGUGAAAGUAAGAAUUGCGACGGUGGAUUUUGGUAUCUAAAACAAAGAGUUUGUUCGAAAGAAGAAGAAGUGAUAAGAGUUUAAAAGUUUGGAUAGAUGUAGAAAAUCAUGGAGAUGAAAAAUAUCAAGAAAUUGGCUAAAUAAUAAAACUCAUAAUUUUUGUAGUAUACAAGUAUAUUCUCGAUUUUUUUUAAAAAAAUAAUGAUUAUUCAUAUUGAGGAAAUUUAGAUGAGGGCAAUUUUGGGCAUUAAUAUACUUUUUUGUCUUACAUCAUCAAGGUGAAACCCAACCUAUAUUCUAGGGGAGGUAUGUGUAAUUUUCAAAACAUGAGGGGAGCUGUCUGAAAUUACUAAAAACUUUACUGAAAACCUCAAGGGAGGUUUUGAAAUUAUCCCAACCAAUUAAAUGGGUUUAAUUAGGUACUCACUUAGACUCAUUUAAUGUCAAUGGGCGAAUUUGGACCGGUUAUUAGUGAACGGAUUUGAAUGGAUCAAUAUAAUUGAGUUGUGAUUGACACCUCUAGUUAACAUAUGUAUAUGACAUUAUGAAUUAUGAAUAUCUAUUUAUUGGACAAAUUGCAUAUAAUAUUGGACUUGAAGUUAUGUGGUUUUUUCUCCCUCUAUUUUAAAAGUAGGUAGGCUCACAUGUAAAAUUCCACAAGAAAGAUGCUAGCUCUGGAGAAGGCGAGAUUUGUUAAUAUUUCUCCUUGUGCUACGCUAAAAAUUUGAGAGUGAAAUUGAGGAAGUGCCUUGCAUUAUAAGAGAUGGAGAUGACCUCCACUUGCAUAGAUCUGAUCUAAUUGAGCUCAUAUGUAAGUAGAUAUUAAUUAUAAUAUUUUCCUUGAAGGAAUUUAAAAUAGAUGAUCAGUGUUAAUGUUAAAAAGAAUGCCUACAUAUCAUGAGGUUUAGGAGUAUUUUCUUAAUCAAACUACUUGAUUUGAUACUUUGAUCAAACUGCUUGAACUCAGCCAGCCAAUAUUGAGGCAGGUUUGUUGCUAAAAAGCUGGCUUGCAAGGUUCGAUUGUAGUCCUAUCUAAGAGAUAAAUACAACACUAUAAAAGUCUUAUCAACUCAUUAGCUGUCUAUAAUAUUAUUAAAUUUAACCACAAGAGAAUAUGAAAAUGUUCUUGUGACAUAUAUCAAUUUGCCCAAAAUUGUUCAGGUCCCCGAAAAGGCGAAAACCUGAAUAUAGUUGCUCACAUAUAAAAAAUGGAGCAGAUUAGAAUCACAAGGCUAGAGAUCGGCUACACAUUGUGAAUGAAAUCUUCUCCCGUCUAAAACAUUGCCCCUUAAAGGCUAAAGCUUCAAUUAAGGAACAGGAAAAGUGACCGUCCGGUGGCCAUUCUUGACCAGAACAGUAUCCGGUCUCCUUUUUUUUUUUUUUUUGUCGAAACGGUAGAAUUUCUAUAACCUAAUCUAUCCCAAUCUAAGAGGAAGGGGAGGGGGAUUCGAUGUGAGUAGAGACUCCAUCGAAGAAAGUCAAUAAAGGCUGCCACCUAAAGUGACAAUUUGGUGGAAGGCAAAGGUUGAACCCCUGACCUCCCACCCCACCAAGAGUGGUGGUGGCCACUGAGCUAGAGCUCUGUGGUUGUAUCCGGUCUCUUCAAUCUAUCGAAUUCUGCACAUGGACCCGCCGAAUGUGGAAGAAAGACUAAUAUUAAGAGUUGAAUUGAUUUCUAAUAGAGCUGGGUUUGUUUGAAUAGAGUGUUAUUUAAAAUAUUAUUUGGAAUAACAACUGUAGUAUUUUUUUACGAUGUGAUGUAUGUGAGAUAAAAAGGUGGUUGGAAAUAUAAAAAGGUGAGUUGAAAAUGUGUUUGUAAUGGAAGUGAAAUAUUAUUUAAAAAAAUUUGGUAUCCAAACAAAAGCAGUAUUAGCUUGCAUUUCAGUUCUUACUCUUGAGACUAUGACACAAGAUGCAUUUGAUAAAAUUGAAAUUGAAAUUUUAAAAUUAUUAAAUUAUUAAAUAUUAAAUCUAAUACAUUUGAAUGUAUGUCAUAUUAAGUGAUAAGUGAAUAACUUAUCACUUAUUUUUUAGUAUAUAUUUUGCCAAAAAAAUAUAGUACUACUUAAUUAAUUCAGAUGUUUAAUUUUUUAUUAUUAAAUAUGUUUAAACAUGUUAAAAUCUGAAUCUAUUAAAUUUAAGUAUUGAAUUGAAUUGAAUUAUCAAAUAGGACCUAAUUCUCAGUCAACUCGUGGAAGUUUUCUACGUAAAUAAGAAGAAUUGAUAUCAAACAUUUAAAAAUAUGGGUAUGCCUUAGCCAUGAACCCUGUGUUAAAAAGCAAGGAAAGGGAGGGUUCUCUGGUCGUGCUUGACCCGAAGAGCAGCCAGUCCCCUUCUCUCUCAUUUUCCAAAUGGAAACCCUCAAUGUUGAAGAAAGACUAAUGAGAAGACUUUCAAUUAAUUUCCAAUGGCCCAAGUAACACUGAAAGGGGCAUAUACUUGCGUCUAGAUAGGAGAUUAUCUCGGAUGAUUUUUUUAAAAAAUAUUUUAUCAGUUUUUUUGAUAUAAUAUAUAUGAGAUAAAAAGAUAAUUGAAAAAUAUAUCUAUGAUACAUAGAUAAAUUAGUAUAAAUAAUUAGUAUGCAUUUAUGUCCUGACUCUUGAAAAAAGUACUGCUGCUAAUUAGUAGAAUUUUUUACUUCUUUAAUCCAAUCAUUUUCUUUGACCAUUGUAUAUUGGUAACAUUAAUGCACUCAUUAAUUUUGAACGUUAUCAUUUUACUCUUUAUGUUUAUUAUCUUAGUGUUUAUAUUUAUUAUGAUUAGGAUUGUCACUGGAGCCAGGCUACCCGAGCUUGGCUCGUUCUGCCCAAAAAAAAUUCGAUGAGCCCAACCUUUCAUUAAGCCGAUAUGAGUUUGAGCCUAAAAAUUAUGUCCGAAUUAAAUAUGAGUCGAGUUUGGACCUCAUUAAGUUCAAACUCGAUAUAGGCCCAACCCUUAAAUUAGCUAUAUAUAUAAGGAUAUGUAUGUAAUAUAAUUAUACAUUCGAAUAUAUUAUUACUAAAUAUUAAAUAUAUACAAAUUUCAAAACACAAAAAUACAUUUGAAGACAUAUCUACUAACUUUCUUGAGAGCCAAUAUUGAUAUUACAUAAUUGAAAUUCUAACUUUUCUUAUGGUUGAGCAAAUUUUUUGGUUGAUUUCUUUUUGGUCUAGAAAUAUAAAUCAUCAAGCAUGUUUGGAUUCAAGUCACAAAGGUAUGACGAAGUUUCAACUUUUGAAAAUGUAUUGACUUAUGACCGCAUGUUUUAUUACUAUUUUUCAUGUAUUUUGAACGAAUUGGAUAUAAAUAUUGUUAAAAAAUUCUUGAUUUAUGUGCUUUUUAAGAACUAUUACUUGUUCAUGUUUAGUUUUAAUGUGGUAAUCUUGUGAAUAUUAAAUUAGCUUUACAACUCAAUAGUUAUAGUAAUUAUAUAAGAAAAUUGAGGAGCAAUAACUGAGCUUGAACUAAGCCUAAAUAAGGCUCAAAACCGAAAUAUUUUGUGAGUUGAGUAUGAUCAUCACAUUUAUUAACCCGAACCUCAUGGCCCGAAGUUUGAAAGUGUUACAAAUUAAAUGAGUUGAAUCUGAACUUAUAAGAGCCCGACACAUAUGUCCCGAUCGACAGGCCUAACUGUGAUGAUACGUAUAUUUUAUAAUACAAUUGAUGCUAGUAAUUGUAGAAAUCUCAAAUUCUCUACUUCCAAAAUUUCAAGGGUUAAAGCCCUCAAAUUCUUUUCCUUCAAUUCUUUACUUUGUUGGUCCCGGUUAUUAAUCUCCCAGAUCAAUGGUCAUGAUUAUUAAUAGAAGGGAAUUAGAAGAGAAAGUGGUCAAAUUUUUAGUGGUUUGCUCAAGAAAGAAAACAAUUGAAGAAAAUUGGAGAGCUAGCUUGAAGAUUCAUGCUAAAAGAAAAAUAUGAAAAGAUAAACCAAAUAAAUCUAUAUUUAUAUACAUACUCUCUAUAAAAAGUCUUUUGGAUCAUUCAUAUUUUAAUGUUUCUUUAUUUUUUUUAAUCUUCCUCAUAGUCCCACACAUAUAACUCCGCGUUAUUCCUAUACCUGCACCAAUAGUGUGUGAACCCACACUAUUUUGAAAGAAUUAACGACUUUAGAGUGCAAAACGAUGGAAUUAACAACUUUGUUUUCGCUGUUCGGGUAAUAUAGAAGAAAAUAGGGAAUGUCUGUUCAAGCUUUCAAGGCCUGUCUCAGUUGUAAUUAUUUUCAUUCAACUGAAAGAAUCCAUUAAACUAAAACCUCUAAUGUCAUUUUACUUUUUCCAUAGUAACGAAAAUGAAAAGUGUUAUUUCAUAGAAUUUAUGUAUGUAAUAAUAGGAUGUGACUAUAUGCAGUAACAAUGCUUAAAUUUUUCAAAGAAACAAUCAAUUUACAAAGAUUAAAGUAAAACAAGUGUAGGUGCAAUUAGGCUAGGGCUGCAAACGAAUCGAGCCGCUCGCGAGCCGCUCGAGUCAAGCUCGAGUCGAGCUCGAGAUUAAUCGAUCUCGAGUCGAGCUCGAGCCGGCUCGAGUCAAACUCGAGCUCGAACUCGAGCUCAGAAUAUUAAGCUCGUUAGCUCGUGAGCCGGCUCGCGAGCUUGAGUAUAUAUAUAUAUAUAUAUUUUAUUUUUAUUUUUAUUUAAUAAUAAAAUUAUGUAUAUUAUAUCUAUAUUUUUUUUAUUUUUUAUUUUCAUAGUGAAAUUACGUAUAUAUCCUUAAUAUUUUAUUAUUUAUUAAGAAAAAAUAUUAUUUUAUUUAUUUUUUUAAAAAUAAAAUAAUUAUUUUUUUAUUUUUUUCGAGCUCGAGCUCGAAAAUUGCUGGCUCGUCGAGCUCGAGCUUGGUAAAAUUUAGUCGAGGCUCGGCUCGAUUAGCUCAAAGCUCGACUCGACUCGGCUCGUUUGCAGCCCUAGGGGUGGCAAUCGGGUCGGUUUGAGUUCUAAGUAUAACAAAAAACUGACCUGAACCUGACCCGUCAAUCCGAAACGGGUCAGGAUACUUGACACGAACCCGAAAAUUUCGGGUUGGUGGGUCAACUCGAAAUGACCUGAAACUUAAUUUUAAUUUAUUAAUUUAUCACUGUAAUUUCUAAUCAAAUCAAUUUCUCACAAAAUUAAUUACAUCAUCAAGUAAUAAAAAUUUAAAUAAAUAAUUUCAAACCAAAUCUAAAAUAAAUUAAAUACCGUAAAAGUGUUUUAUCCCAAACCAAAUAUAAAAUAAAUUAAAACAGUAUAAAAGUAAAAAAUAACAUAAUGUAUUAUUUAUCCAAAUAUAAUAAUUUCAACUUCACACAAGUUAAAUAAAUUCAUUUAGGAUUAAGUAAUUAAUACCUUUGAAAAAAAGAAUGAUUUAGUUUAGUUAGAUAAAAUAAUUUUUAUGUUUAUUAAAUUAUUUUUAAUUCGUAAACGGGUUAUAUCAGGUCACCACGGGUUGAUCCGAAAAUGACCUGUUUUCUUUUCAGGUUCGACCCAAUUCUGACCCGAACCCCCAAAACCUCAACCCAAACCCAUUAAUUUCGUAUUAGAUUCAUAUCGUGUUUUCGAGUCGUAUCAGGAAUUGCCACCCCUAGGUGCAGUAAAUCAAGUUAAAUUUUUACGCUUUUGCAGUAUAGGUGCAGGGACUCUUUGCCAAUGGAGUGGUCCUUCUCAACUCCAAUAUGAGGAGUAUGAAAUAGUCCAAAAAUAAUAAACUUGUCAAUGAAAACUUCUUCACUCUACUAAACACAAGAUGACUUUAUGAUAAUCCAGCAUUUUCUCUUUUACCUUGCUGUUCUUUUGUUUCUUACUCUGUUUGAAUGCGUACAAAAUUUUGAUCAACUCCAAUUAAUGUGCUUGUAAUGACUAGGGAAACUAAGACAGACUCAUAUUUGUAAUACAAACCAAAAACAGAAAAUGUUUCAAGAAUGCAUUUCGCUGUAAUCCUGAGAGAUUGCCAUAUCAAAUUUCCCUAAUAAAAUGUUGAUGACAGAGUCAACUAAUUUUUAUCUUUUUUUUUUUUGUCAGCAACGAUACAUUUGUAUAACCUACUCUAUUUUAAUCUAGGGGAAGGGGAAGCCUAAGGAGGCUGUGGUAGGGACUAGUGGGUAUACAGACCCAACUAGAUCAAGAAAGUAUUAUGGCACAAUUCUUAGAUAUUUUUCGCUGCUGGUGAGAUUUGAACCCUCACCAACAGCCUAAGGGAGGGACUUGCCCAAGGAGGGACUUAAGUCCCUCCCUGUAGCCACUGAGCCAUUGGCCCAGUGGUUGAGUCAACUAAUUUUUAUCAAUUUCCUCCAUUUGUAAUUAGUUCAAGAUAAAUUUGGAUUUUGGGUGAAGCCAAUUUGACCCAAUACGUGCCUAGCUCCAAUUCCACAUAGUUGAAUAAUUGAUUAUCAUUGCCUGGGGUCCACCUUGAUGCCAAUUCCACCUACUUGAAUGGUUGGUUGUCUCAAUACUCUUCUUCACCUUCUCACCAGAAACAAAUAAGCAAUUUUCAGGAAAGAAAUACUUUGCUAGCUCUGCAGUUAGUGAGAUUUGUCUCUCUCUUAAAAUUUGAGAGUGAAACUGACGAAAAUCCCUCCAAAAGAGAUGGAGAUGGCCUCCACUUGCAGCAUCGAUCGGGUCUUACUUGAUCUAGAGUCGCUCCUGAACAGCUUCCAAGACCGGUAUGUUCCUGACGGUGUUCUUGCUGCAAUCGAACGCAUGAAAUUUCUCAAAACAUUUGUUAUGUGUGCAAGAAAGUGGAGCCAAAGCAACGAUCUGUACUUGGAAUCUGACAAUGUUGUGAAGAAGGUGAGUCUUCCAUCUUUCUUAUCUUGCAUCGAAGAUACCUUUCACAAAUAUGAGGAGGAUAUUCACUCUCUUUCCCAUAGAUCAGAAACGGACGAAUAUGGAAUGUUCUUCGAAAUUGAGGAACAGAUCAAAUUACUUAAGCAAGAAAUCAUCCAAAUUUACUUUGCUUUGGCAAGCAGCAGGUCAUUGCAAUCAAAUUCUUGUAUGACAGAUGAUGAACUAAUGGAAUUCAUAGACCUCAUCCUGCAAAAUCUAGCAGAUUUGACAAAUGACUAUAUGCAUCCGCAAAUUAGUGAAUCGUUUGUUUAUGCUAUUUUGAGUGCUCAAGUCCAAGCCCUUGAAGCAAAGCUAACAUUCUUGAAAAGCUUCAUUCCCUUUGCCAAAUUGCGAGGAACUGCAGAUAUUCCUACCUCGCUAUUGGCUCACUUUGAAGUGGUGGCUUUGAACGCAGCACGCCUCUCUUACAUGUGUUCUUUUCGGGAAGAUGAGGAUCUGCACAAUCUUGACUUGUGCUGCAUGGUAUAUGAGCAACAACAGAAAAUCACACCUAUAGAUUUUCAAGUCUAUGAGAUUUUUAUGGAAGUUCUUAGAGCUACAAGAUCCUCAAAAUCAUUGCAUGAUAGAAUGAUGGAUAAGCAGAUAUUAAACAACUUCAAUGAUUCUCUCAUAAGUUGUCUCUGGGAGCUGUUAUGCUGCAGCUCUAGCUUUAUGGAUUCUAUGAAAGAUGAAAUGCGAAUACUCUAUGCAGGACUGAGGUUUUUGAGAAGCAUUUUAAGGGAGCAGCAGGAGAAAAUGGAUGAACAAAACGAAAAAAUUGGUUCACUUCUUAGUGAGGCAGGCAUUAUAAUUUGCUCGCCUUCUCUAAACAGAGUGAAAGGAGGAGAAGUUAGCUUCUCAGAGUCCACAGAUGCCCUUGACUGUUAUGAUAUGCUGGCUAAUACCAACAUCCAUAUCGAACAUUUUAAGGAUCAGAUCAGUGGCUCAAGCAUUAUUGAAACUAUUCCUUCCUUUCAUAGCUUAAGAGCACCAGAAGUUAGCAAGACUUCCCACCGCAUGCUAUCAAAAGGUCAAAUGCCAAUAACCCAUGAAGUCAUGGUUGGUCUUGAUGAUGAUGCAGCAAAAGUAAUUGAACGACUUAUAUGGGGAGCGGAUCAGGUGGAAAUUGUUCCCAUUGUGGGAAUGGCUGGGCUUGGUAAGACGACUUUAGCCAAAAAAGUUUACAAUGAUAGUUCAGUAAUCUGUAACUUCCACAUUCGUCUUUGGUGUACUGUUUCUCAAGCCUACAACAUGAAAAAUGUGUUACUUCAAAUUUUGUGCUCUGAUGGCAAACAUUCCAGGAAGGAUGAUAAGUUAAAAAAUCUGGAUGAACAUGCGUUGCUGGAAAAGCUCUACAAAAAGCUAAAGGAGAAUCGGUAUCUUGUUGUUUUUGAUGAUGUCUGGGACAUUAAGGUAUGGAAUGAGCUGGGAAUUUCAUUGCCGGAUGAUAAGAAAGGAAGUAGAAUCAUCUUCACGAGUCGAUCUUCUAAUGUGGCUUUACAGGUUGAAUAUGGGGGGAAACCUCACUAUCUUCACCCGCUUAGUGAGAAAGAAAGUUUUGAAUUACUGCAGAAGAAGGUAUUUGGAGAAGAAGAUUGUCCUCAAGCAUUGCAUGGAUUGGGAAUGGAGAUUGCCAAAAAGUGCAGGGGAUUGCCACUUGCACUUGUUGUUGUAGCUGGAGUACUAGCAACCAUAGAGCAUGAUAUUUGUGUUUGGGAAAAAUUUGCUGAAAGUUUCACUUCAACCACGGUGGCUGAUGCAGAACAAUGCAAAAAGUCGAUGGAGCUCAGUUAUGGGCAUUUACCAUAUCACUUGAAGGCAUGCUUGCUGUAUUUUGCUGCAUUUCGAGAGGAUGAAAAAAUUGGUGCCAAGGAGUUGAUGUGUCUCUGGGUUGCAGAAGGGUUUGUGGAAAUAAUUGAAGGAAAGAGAUCAGAGGAUAUUGCAGAAGAAUAUCUGAUGGACCUGAUUGGCCGAAACUUAGUUAUGGUAAGUGAAAACAGAUCCAUUGGUGGAGUCAAAACUUGUUACGUUCACGAUUUGAUAUUUGAGUUCUGUAAAGGCGAGGCGAAAGAAAAGAAAUUUCUUCAGGUCUUGCGAGGAUAUGAUGAGCUUUCUACCUUUAAUGAGCCUCCCAACCUACCUCGGUUGUCCAUUUGCUCCAAUGGAGAGGAUUUUAUAAAGUCAAAGCUCUUUUGUCCACAUUUAGAUACUCUGCUAUUCCAUGAUGCUACUCUAGGAGAUAAGUUUGAGUUGCGUGACAUCUCCUUCCUUUUUUGCAUCUACAAACAUCUUAAAGUUUUGAAUUUAGAGGGCAUUAUCCUAAGGCUGAAGGAGCUUCCAGCUGAAGUCGAAUCACUUCUUUGUUUGAGGUACUUAGCCCUUAGAGCUCUGUUCAUGGAAUUCAUUCCACCAUCUAUAGCCAAGCUCUCACAUUUGGAAACCUUCAGUCUAAAUUCUUUUGAGGCGGUUUCAUUGCCAGAUAGCAUCUGGAACAUGGAGAAGUUGAGGCAUGUACAUGUAAGGCCUGGCGUCGUUAUUCCUCUCUCCUCCGAUGACAGCGGUGUUGAAAACCUCUCUAAUUUAGAGACACUCUCUGCUCUGUUUCUUUAUCUUGACGAAGAGGGAGAGAACUUGUUGAGAAGGAUUCCCAACGUUCGCCGACUUAAAAUUUUCGAUUUGGGGGAACAAAACAGAGUAUGCUGCAACAUGAGUCGACUAGCAUGCCUAGAAUCACUCGCCUGGUUGGGCAGUUACUCCUCAGGUUCAUGGGAGCAUGUUGAGCUUUCUUUUCCCAUGAAUUUGAAGAAGUUGAGCCUUAGCGGUCUGGCUCUUCCCUGUAGAAAAAUGUCAUUGAUGGAACAACUACCCAAUCUUGAAGUCCUCAAAUUACGAGCCCAGUCGACGGAGGGCCAAAAAUGGGAGCUGAUGGAAGGAGGAUUCCCUAAACUCAGGGUCUUGACUUUGGAAUAUGUACAGAUUGUUGAGUGGACAGAGGCAGACCCUGACAGUGAUGAUUACUUCCCGUGCCUUCAGCAAUUAAAACUCCGAAGCAUUUCUAAAUUGGAAAUGAUGCCUUCUUGUUUAGGGCGUAUAUCUACUCUUGAAACCAUUAAAAUGAAUGGGUGUGGAGAUGGCGUCAAGUCUUUGGUAAGGGAAAUUGAAGAAGCACAGGAAUAUAAUGGAAAUGAGAACCUGAAGAUCAUCAUCAUAGAUUGAGCUGGUGCAAUGUCUGGUAAUUUUUUUUUGUUGUUAGCAUUAAUUGGCUUGUAGAAAUAAUCAUGCUUUUUUCAUUUAAGGGAGCUUAAUUUAUAUUGACAUUUUGGUAGCUUUUUUGUACUACUUCAGUAGUACAAACAACUAAUUAUUGCUCUAUUUUUUCUUGAUGAUAUAUCAUCAGGGAGUGUGAUUGUCAUCUGUGUGGUCUGGCUUUCUUUGGUGCUUUUGUGGAAGAUUGAGGUGAAAAUUGAAAGGAUCGAUGGCUCUUUUCUUGUCAAAAUAUGGUGGAAACGACCAAUGAGGUUUGUACGACCAAUGUGUAAUUUCGUUUUGCUGCAUUUAGUGAUGGUUGUGUACUAUUUCUUUUCAAACAUGUGACAAUUUGCUGUUGGUGUAUUUUGUUAUCUUUUUUUUCCUAUUUGAGGUUCAAACUUCAUCAUUUUGACAAAAUUGAUUAACAAUUUAUGUUUGAGAUCAAUCAUUCUUGGAAGAAUAUGACAGCCCAACAGACUUGUGGUCUAGAAAUUCAUGUCGAAAGGAAACCUAUAUGAUCAUCUCUUUUCUGCUCAAUAUAUGCUCAAUCUUAGGUUUGGAUUUAGGAUAUCCAACUUUGAGAUUUGCUAAAUUUUCAGAAUCAUAUUUUACUUCUUCAAAUUGGAGAAUUUUUGCAAAGAAUGAAGUAUGAGACUUAAUAAGUUCCUUUAAGAAGGAUGUCUGCAACUUGGUUUUUCUGCUGCUUGAGCUAGUUGCUGGAAAGGGCAUUAGUAAAAUUAUUGAUUCUCCAAAGAGCUUUAAAGGUGAUUUGUUUGUAUGAAUAUUUAAUUUUCCAUUUUUGAAUUCCUACCUAGGAUAUAUAGAGCUAGGGAUAAACUAUCCAAAUUAGAGAGAAAAUGUGUAUAAAUUUUACAAUUGUAUAAUGGGCCAAUACCUUUAUUUAUAGGCUGUGACAAGCGAAUCUAGACAACUAAUACAAUGAAUUUUGGGCGAAUUAACGUAUAAUCAAAAAGAAAAACAAAGAGAUCUGGAGAUUUUCAUAGUUAAAAAAAAAAAAAAAGAGCAAUUAACUGAAUUCUUCGUGAUGGAAGAACAAAAAAAAGGUAAUCUAUCUUUUUCUAAAUACAUGAAUGAAAUUUAAUUGAAUAAAACAGGAAUGACAUUUUGCCAGGCCUAAAACAAAAGAAACACAUAAUUGAUUAAAUAUUGAAACUACCAAAACAAACAGGAAAAGGGGUUCAACAGCGUCCUAAAAAGUGGGCUCUGAGGGACAAAACGUAAGUCCAUAUACCCCUCUCAAGCUGAAAAGUAGACGCAUCCCACAUUCUGGACUCCCUCUCAGCUCAAUCCACAUGGUAUGGAUCUUAUAAGGCCCAAAUUUCAGGAAGUGUUUCGCAUCUGCAUUCAUUCUGCUUUCUAGUUUCAACUAUGAUUUGUUCUGAAUACUUGUGAUAAAUUGAUGAGAAUGGACUUCAGCUCGUAAUCUAUUUUCGCUUCUCUUUAGGGUAAAUUCCCCUUCUAUUUAUUGCGAAUCAAUGGAAAAUUUCUCUUUAUUACUACUUGAUAACACUUUGUGCUUAGUAUAUCAAGACUAUUAAUGAGUAUGUUAUAUUUUUACAGAACUUCCGAAGGUUGAGAUUAUGAUUUUUUACAGCAAAUCAUGUCACAAUUAGUCUGUUAUAGGUUAGGGAUAUUAACUGUCUUUUCAAGUCAUGCCCCCCUUUCAUCACACAUGCUGGCGAAUGCUUAGUUAACUUUAGGCAAAUGAGAAAGUAAGGGUAACAACCCACCACCAAGCCCUUAAGGCUUUGGUGGGAAACCUUGCCUCUCACCAAAAUGCCACUCUUGUGGCUCUACUUCAAAUCCAGACGGGUGCAUAUUGCAUCCGUCUGGUCCGGUGGUAGUUCUAUCCCCAUCGAUUUCCCGUAGGUUCAGUUGAGCUUCCCUCUAAUUAGAGUAGGAGUAGGAGUAGGAAAUCCAGACGGGUGCAUAGGGUCCGGUGGUGGUUCUAUCCCCAUCGGUCUCCCGUAGGCUCCUCUCUAGUGAGUUCUUUCUUCAUUUCGUAUAAUGCAUAUUUAGAUGUAUGAAACACGUCUUCAAUUACUAAGAAGGGACAAGGUCAAUUUAAAUUUAACUAAUCCUAACUCUUGUUUAUAAAUGAAGAUACGUGUCAUACAUCUAGAUGGGUACUGCAGAAAAUGGAGAGAGAAUCAACUAGAGAUGAGCCAAAUCCCACUUUAGAUUAGUUUUCAAUUUUGGCGCUUGUUUUAUUCUGUGGAUCUUUACAAUACAAAAUAUGAUUACUCUUGGUCUGUGAGGGUAUUACUAUUAUUUAGAGUGAAAUUGCCCUGACAAGAACAUAAUUGUUUUGGCAAUAUAGCUAACCCUUUUCUAUAAUUUGCAACUAAGACGUACUAUCGAUAAGGUUUUGUUAAACAAAUGAUUUAUAUGUUUUUGUUGGAGGAGAAAAUUGAUAGCAAUAUGAAAUUCCAAUAAUUAAAUUUCUAUUCUUUUUAAUUAAUUUUUAAAAAAUUAUCUUAGUACGUAUCCCUAAAACAAAUUCCCACUACGUAAAUAGCACAUUAGGACCCAAUUGUAAAGGUUCAGAAGCAGUGAGCCCACCACUUUCGUAUGCCUCCAAAUACCCUUAUUAUAGUGGAUGGAUCACGGAUGGCAAUUUGAUUAGGGGUGGUAAUUUCCGACACGAUCUGAAAAUACGAUACGAACUUAACACGAAAUUAAUGGGUUUAGGUUGAGGUUUUACGGGUUCGGGUCAGAAUCGGGUUGAACCCGGUGAACCCGAAAAGAAAACGGGUCGAAUUUGGGACAAUCCGUGGGUGACCCGAUAACCCGUUUACAAAUUAAAAAUAAUUUAAUAAACAUAAAAAUUAUUUUAUCUAACUAAACUAAGUUAUUCUUUUUUUCCAAAGGCAUUAAUCACUUAAUCCUAAAUGAAUUUAUUUAACUUUUGUGAAGUUGAAAUUAUUAUGUUUGGACAAAUAAUGUAUUAUAUUAUUUUUUACUUUUAUACUGUUUUAAUUUAUUUUAUAUUUGAUUUGGGAUAAAACACUUUUAUGGUAUUUUAAUUUAUUUUAGAUUUGGUUUGGGAUUAUUUAUUUAAAUUUUUAUUAUUUGAUUAUGCAAUUAGUCUUGUGCAAAAUUGGUUUUAUUAGAAAUUACAGUGGUAAAUUAGUAAAUUGAAAUUAAGUUUCGGGUCAUUCGCGUCGACCUACCAAUCCGAAAUUUUCGGGUUCGGAUUAGGUAUCCUGACCCGUUUCGAGUUGACAGGUCAAGUUCGGAUCAGUGGAUUUUCUGUUAUACCCGGAUCUUAACCCGACCGGCACAACCUGAUUUGGAUCCGAUUGCCACCCCUACACGGUGGGUUCUAAGAUAGGAACCAAUUUUUAAAUGUGGCUCGCCAUGUGUCUGACAUAUGGCAGGUUCCUUUUAUAAAAAGAAAAUGGAACUAAUAAACUGGUCCACUGCAUGUCAGAAACACAAUAGGCCUAGCUAGAAAAAUGGAACUAAACUUUUCAAAAAUAUUUUUUGAACUUCUUUUUGGCAAUAUUUCAACAAAUUUGCCCUAGGUUUGGUGUUGAUUAGGUCCAGGUUGAUUAAUAACCUUGACUAAAAUAUGUGAACAAUUAAUAUUCAAGAAAAUAUUCUACACAAAGAAAUUGAAAACUAGUACAUUUUAUUUUUUUCCCUCAUAUAUAUCAUGCAUUUUUCAUAUUUGAUUCACAUAAAGUAAUGGCAUUACUUGCGAUCCAAACCAAUUUAAAGUAGUGACGGCUAGUUGAGAUCAAAUACAAUUGUGUGAUUAGAAUUUUGUUUCGAAUAUUAAUAUGUUGUAUAACCAACUAGAAAAAUUCUGUAGCCAUCUUAGAGUGUCAUUCCUUCAAUGUGCUUCUUCCAAUGAUGAUAGUAACUGGUAAUUUAAAUUACUGGAAUUGUAAUGACCUAAAUAUUAAAAAUAAUAUUUCACCAUCCAACUAUGAAUUUAAAUAACAUUUGACCAAAAAGGGGUUAUAAAAUCUGACAACUAUUUAUCCUACUAAUUCUACAGAACAAUUGGUCACCGCCAAAUUCUGAACUAGAUUUGUGUUUUUUGUGACUUUUAUAUCUUUCUGUUUUCAUCUUUUUUCUUUCUCUAAAUGGGAUGAAUUAGAUGUAUGAGUAAUAUUCAAAAACAUGAUAGGAAUACUGCUAUUAAUGGCAGAGUCUACUGGUUUCAGUUGAUUUUUGUAUUGCAAAAUAUCUUAAAAGAGUUAUUGACAAUUGAAAAGUGGACAAUAAAACGGCGAAGAGUAAUUUACAUUUAAGUUUUUUUUUUUUUAUAAAAAACAGAUUUCAUUAACGAAUUGCUAAAAAUCGGUCAGCAUGAUUUGAUUUACAUAGCUACCUUAAUGGCAAAUUUAAUAUGCACUAAAACUUGCAUAUUUGUAAUUUAACAAAUGCAAUAUAUCUGAAAAAUUAUGAAAAGAUAUGAAAAAUACAAGAAAUUUUAAAAUUGUCGCCCUUUCAUGCAUAUUGCAAUAGUCAGAUUUGCUAAUAAACGGUUUUAAACUCCAAUAAUGAUGAUAAGAUCUAUUGAAAUAGAUCCCAAAUCCAAAAAAUUUUUAGAUCUGAUAACCAGAAUUGAAAUAAAUUCAAAUCCAACAUCAAAAUAAAGAAACAAUUCACAAAAAUCUCCAUAGGAGUUUGUUUCAAAUGGAUGGAUGAUGUAAUGUUCAAAUUGGAAUUGGAUGACGUAAGUGCAAAGGUGAGCCGUUUCCUUUUUUGUUUUUUGGGAAUACAUUCGAUGUUUGAUUUUCAUUUAAGGCGGAAGAUGACAACACAAUUUUAAACUGAAUUUGACCAUUUGCUUGUAUGUAAAGUUUUAACUUUUUAACUUAGCGAGGAGUGCUUAAAAUCUUACCAAAUAUCAGUUGUUUUUUUUUCAUCAGUUGUUUUUUUUUUUACCAAAUAUCAGUUGUUGUCGGUCCUUUAAUUUAAUUUAAGGAAUAAUUUCAUAAAUCUCCCCUGAAGUUUUUUGUCAGCAUUACAAGCCUCCCCUGAAGUUCUAGAAAUAUCACAUGCUUUAGACCUUUUCUUUCUGUAGCCUUGGGGUUGCUUUUGAUGUAAACGUUCCGAGCAUAAAAUGUUUACUCAUAAUGCUUGUGUUUAGGGUUAAUUACAUUUACCUCCCCUAAGGUCUAGCCAAACUACCAGUCAAACCUUGAGGUUAAAUCAAAUAACAGUCUAAUCCCUUGACUAAGCAAACGUUUAUCAAAAACUUCCUUGCUGUCCUAAGACGUUAUUCAAGGUAUGAUGUCAGCAACAAAACUAUUAUGAGAGGCCAAAAAUGCCCUUAUAAUAACAAAACUAUUACGCAUGUGUCAUCACUAAUUUCUUUGACUUUUUCCUGAAGUAAUAAUAACAUUUUUUUUCUUUUCUUUGUUUCCUAAAAUAUACUAAAAGAAAUUGACUGCCCAAAAACCACAAAAGAAAAAGAAAAGAGUUGCAAAUUUUUAUGAAAAGUCAAUUUCACUAGUUGUUACCCCAUAGAAGAAAGAUUCAAAAUAACAUAACAAUAAUAAAAUAUUAGGAAAAAAAAAAGAGCUUUGCAAUAACAAACAGAGGAGAAAUUAAAUGAAAAUUAUGAAAAAAGAAAAGAAAAGGAGAGUAUACCAAAAUAAAAAAAAAUGAAAGUGCUUUCGAGUUGAGAGCUUCACCUUGCAAUGGGUUUAGAUUUAAAUAGCCUUUUAAUUUAAUGGCUAAAGUUGAAGUUAGGAUUGUCAAUUGGGAUAACAUAUUAAUUUGCCAGCAACCUUCGCUGGAAAGACUUCUUCAUAACCAAUAAGUGUGUACAGGGUUCAAUUGGGAUAAUACCAUGUGUUAACUUUCAAGCACAAAAAGGCACAUAAUUGCAUGGACGAUUUGUCACUUUUCUACUCCACUUGGUACAAAUCAAUGUUGCUAAAUGCCCCGUGCCAAUUUUCUACAUGGUAAAUAUGAGGAAUUUGCGAAUCUAAAGUGAAAUGGAUUCUUUUUGUUAUUAGUGAUCUAAAAAUUUAAAAUGAAAUGGUUUUCGUCUCUUCGGCUCUUGAAUAAAGGGAUCUUGAUGUUUUCUUGUUGACUUGUUGGCUGGUUUGUGUUCUAUUUGUCAUGAAAAUAAUUUUCAUACAAAUUUUGUAGAAUGUGGUUUGAGUGGUGAUGAGAAUAGGAGAUGCAACUGUUUGGUUUUUAUUCUAAUUAUCAUGAAUAUAUUUUUCAUAAAAAUUUUGUGGAAUUUGGUUUGAGUAGUGAUGAGAAUACGAGAUACAACAAUUUAGACUUGUUUGGUGGUUUUGUGGUCACUUUUGGCCAAAAUUGAUGAUCAAAUCAUAAUUUACACAAAAUUUCAAGUUCCAGUUGCAAAUUUGACAAAGAUCCACCAUUGAAGGUUAGUGGCCGGUAGUGACAAAGAUCCACUUCGACUGCUGCUGCCAUGGUUGCCAUAUUCAAGCUUUCAGAAAGUUAGAGAUGAAGAAGAUUAAAAAAAAAGGAAGGAAUUAUGAUUUUGUUAGAGUAUAAAAUUAUAUCUGGGUGUUUGAAAAUUCGUUCCUAUUGUAAAAUACAAUACAGGCACUAGUCCAACUAAUAAUGCUUAUGGUUAUCUUGUCUUUUCACCAAUUCCAUCUAUGAUACUUAACGGAAGUUACUAAUUGGGGGGCAUUUGCUAUUUGACCAAAUUUCAAGGAUCAUUUGGUAGUUUGGCCAAACCUUAAGAGAGGUAAUUGUAAUUAACCUUGCGUUUAAUUAGCCUUGAAUUGAAUGCUGUUUGACAAUCUAUAAGUGUCAUAGCAAUAGCACAUAUAAAAUGGACCACUAUAGUAUUUAAGGAGUCCAAUAGCUAAUCUUUAAUGCAUUCAAUUGCAGAGAAAAUUAUAUUAUGCUUUUACAUGACUUCAUUACAACCACAUAAAAAAACUCCACUCUUCUUAUUACAACUUUGCAUGCCUUAACCCUCGACACAAUAGUAUGCCUCAAUAUAGUGAAAUCCACCAUCAGGCACAUAGCUGAAGGAAUUAUUUUAAGAAUUAAGAUAUUACAAUAGCGUACAAAGCACGUGAACUAUUACUAAUAGCAUUCAAAAGUAGAAUAGAUAACCUUUAAUGCAUUCAACUGCAAGCAAAAUUAUGUUCCGUUUUUACAUGACCAGAUCUUUAUUCAGUACAACCUCUCUGAAAAAACUCUAAUUGCCUUAACCCUCGAGGAGACAAUAGUAUGACGAAAUUUAUUGGAACAAACACAUAUCACUCAACUCUCAAUAUAGUGAAAUCCACCAUCAGGCACAUAGCUAGAAGAAAUUAUUGCCAUAACAAAGGUACGUCUUCAUGUGCACUUCCAG
rnacentral:lncRNA from 1 species